rnacentral:lncRNA from 1 species
AUUUACUUUGAUUGGGUGUUUGAACUAUCCUGAUUAAGUAUCUGUCUUUCCCUUUUUUCAUUGUUGAAUUAAAGGUGCAAUUCCAAAAGGGAUAUUGGGUCAUCUUACACAGCUUAAGACAUUGUACCUUGGUGGUAACCAGCUUUCAGGUAAGAUUUUUUCAUUGACAACAUUGUCUGUUUAUUAUACUGGUUUCUCUAUAGUAGUAUAUGUUUAAUGAUGAAAGUGUCCAGGUUUUGCGAAAUCCGUAUUUCUGAGAUUUAAUUUAAGAUUGGCCGCAAUCCCCUUUUGCCUCUAAAACAUAUCACACAAUAAAUUAAGAUUGACAGAAAUCCGAUUAUUUUGUAAAUUUUCAUAAAACUAUAUAUCUCUUUCCAAUUUAUCAACACUAUUAUAUUGAAAUUUUAGUUUAAGAUGUAAUAGAUACCACACACUGGUCUUAUAUAAAGAACAAAAAGAGCAGUUGAGGCAUCAUAGCACUAUUUGGUACAACAACCGAUAAAAUUAGUGGUUCAAUUAACUUAUAAGUCAUCUACUAUCAGUUAUCAACUAACUUAUUAUAAAUUUGAAAUUAAAGGAAAAACAUUUUUUUACUCUUUUUUUUCAAUUAAGACAACAGUUGUAAAAAUUAGAAAAAAUUGAUCCUCGGUUGAGUUUUUUUUUUGUUUGUCAUUUCAAUUAAGACAAGUGUUGAGUUUUUUUUUUGUUUGUCGUUUCGAUUUAUGAUUGAUUUUUUGUUUGAUCCUCGGUUUUAUGAUUUAGCCAAAUUUUUGCCACAUCAUCAUUUGUUUGUAAAAUCAAUUUUUUUUUAACAACAUGGACUAAAUUCAAAACUUUUGUAACUUACGGUGUUUUUAAAAAAAUAAAAAUAAUAAUACAUGGAUGAAAACCAAAAACCCAUUAACAUAAGAGACGAACUACAUCUUUAAGCCAAAAUUAUAUCAUGUGCCAUAAUUUUUCAAAUUUACUCUGUCCAUAUAAAAUUAGUUUCUAAUAUUCCUCUAUUCCAUCUUCAUCCGUGUUUGGAUUUGAAAAAUUGGUUUGGUAAGAGACAUAAGAUGUUUUCCUGAUAUUGAAAUGUAAACUUGAAGUUGAAGAGGAAAAUUAAAAUAUAAAUAUCAAUUUUACACAGUUUUUUUUUUUUUCUUUUCAUUCGCAUCUUAAACAUUAACCAAAGAUUCUUCAAAGAAACAACAUGCGUUCCCACCAUUAAAAACCGUGUUAGGUUAUUAAAAAAUAUGUAACGGUAUCACCAAAUAAUUUCUUAAUGACAUUAAAUAGAAAAUUAAACAGAUAUUAAAAAGCUAAGCUAAGCUUUUAUCAUAGAAAGCAGGAGUCUAAAAAAUGAAACUAUAGCAAGCAAUCGUAAACAAUUUAUUCAUCAAGAUCGAGUUAUUAUAUGAAAUUAGAACACACUUACUUGAAAACCAUGAUCACAGAUUCGCCGAGAUUUGAGACAAGAGUGUCUUCCUUUUCCUUUCACAUGCUCCGGAACUUAGGGUUUUCGAUGGGGCAAACCAUUAAUGAGCAGAAUAGUUAGAGUGAUGGCAAAGGGACACCCACCAUCACAACUCUUGUAGCGGCGGAAAGGAGAUAACGCCGGAGAGUGGGAAACGACCACCGCAGGAAAAGGCCCAAUAACUGACGACGACGACGAUCAACGACGACCACCGCAGGAAAAGGGACAAAGAUCAACGACGACGGCCAAUAACAACCCGAUUAGGGCAAGAAGAAGGUGCGAUAGUGAAGACAUGGUCUUCCAAACUAUGCACCUUUCUCAGAUAUCUACAUGGUGAUUAGAAAAGAUUUUGAUGUGGGUGGGAGGUGAGAAAAGGUGAUGGACGAUGGAAGUGUUUAUAGAGAGAAGGGAGAGCUUGCAAUUUCUAGAGAGAGAAUGGGACUGGUUUUCUGUUGUUUCACAUUUGAUAUUUGAAAUAUACAUGAAUUCAUCUCAUCAUCAAUAUUUAAAUUGAAUGAAAUUUCACAUCAAUAUAUCAAAGAAAAUAAGUGAAAGAAAAUCCCAUGAUCACAAAAUUGGUAAUAUAAAAUUCAAACUCCCACUAACCUAAUGCACCAAAAGAAUUCACAAUAUUCAUGUUAUUCAAAGUGACUCUUGAAAACAAUGAAUCUAAGUCAUUUGGUUAAAAGAACAAUUAACGUCAAAAUUAGGAAGCCAAUGAAUGUAAUAAAUAAUUUAUUACCAUAAAUUAUAGUAGUUGAGAGCCACUAAUUUCAAUUUCAACAAUUUCUAAGGGUUCAGAAAUGCUAGUUCUAACCUUUGGUCUUUGUAAAUUUGCUUCUAAUGCAAUCCACACAAGUACCUGGAUGAUCAAACUUUAAAAAAGGUAGAAUAUUUACUUGGAUUAAUUUCACAGGCCUUUCACCAAUAAAUAUUAUCCAAGUGCUUAUGUCAUAAAGUAAAGGAUGUCUUCCUCAACAUUAGACCUUAUAGCAACAAAGAAUUUUGACGACGAAAGAAGAAGCUAGGUUAUGUGAAGUCAAAGACAACUUAUAUAAACCAUCAACAAAAGAUCCAGGGAGUCAUGAACCAUCUACGUAUAGAUGAACAAAGGAUGAAACAAAGUUACGUGAGUUUAAUCUCAAACUUACUUUUCUACCUCCAAGAGUAAAACUAAAACAAAGUUGUUCCAACAAAGAAAAACAAACAAGAUUCAUCCUAAAAUAAGGUACAUGAAAGAAAUUUUUCAAAACAAGUUCAAAACUAGAAUGUUAAAAUUUGGUGACAUCUCUCAGUGACUUCACAGUUACUCCUAGAUUAAUAUUGUCAUAUUUUUAUGCCCAAUAACUUUUUCAUUAGACACAUGGAGACCAAUAUGGUCAGGUGCUUUAAUUUGUGAGUUACCUCCCACUUACCAAAAGGUUAUUUUAGUUCAGACAUGUUCUCCUAGAGAUAACUCCAAAUCUUACUUCCAUUUAUUCUAGUUUGACUUGUUUAACAUCUCGAUGGAAGCAGAACAAAUAUUCACAGAGAAAUUCAUUGUUGAUAAAAAACAUGAAUUCAUUAAAAUAUGUCAUAAAACAAUAUUUAACUCAAAAUAAACAAGCUAUUAUAACGAGUCUAAUAUAAUUGUACAAUCACCUUUGGGCAGAAUGUACAAACUAAGGUCAAGAACCCAAGCCAAAACCUCAAAUGAGUUAAUCAAUGAGGAUACAUUGAACUUGAAAAAUUGCCACCUUUUGGCAGACAAAUUCUUCUGUUCAUCAUAUUCUCCGAUAACUCCAUCUCAUGUAAAUUAGUUAAUGAGUAUGAAUAAUCAAAUCAUAACAAAACGAUUAUUCAUGGAGAAAGAAAUUCACUUUGUGAGACAAAACAUGAGUGUAUUAAAAUAUAUCAUUAAAUAAGAUAUAGCUCAAAAUAAACAAGCUAUCAUAAUGAGGCCAAUACAAUAGUACAAUCACCUUCGGGCAAAAUGUACAAACUAAGGAUAAAACCCCAGUCAAAACCUCAAAUAAGUUAAUCAUGUAUUGAAUUCGGAAAAUUGUCACCUUUGGGCAGACAAAUUCCUUAGUUCAAAACAUUCUCCAAUAACUUUAUCCCAAAUCAAUUUUUAAUUGUAAAAUGCAAUAAUCACCUUUGGGCAGAAAACUACAUGUUAUGAUUAAAAACAUUUGUCACACAACAAAAAAAAUUUCAUCAAUCAAUCAAUAGAGAUGGUCCCACAAAAAAAAAAUACAUAUUAGAUGCACAUACACAAUGAAUCACAACCAUGAUAUUAAAUUUAUUUCAAAAUCGCAAACCUUAUGGCAAAGAAACAGACAUAAAAUCACAAACCUUAGUACAAAAGAUAAAUGAUGUUGAUUUAAACAUGACUACUCAAAAUUGUCUUUGAAUCCACACAUGCGAUUGCAAUUCAAUCAUGAUAAACAUACUCUUAAACAAAUUCAAUCAAUAAAUCAAAUCUCAAAUCCACUGAAAUAAUUGAGAAGAAACGAUAGUCAUAUAGAAAAGAAUGUGGAUAAAAAAUUGAAAAUGAACAAUUGGAUCAAUUUUCCAAUCUCAUACAUAUAGCGCAUAAAAGACAAACCAAUUAUUAAGCAAAAUCAUCCGUCAUUUAGGUAAAGGAAAUUUUUCUAAAAAAAUAAUUCCAUAAACAAAACAAUCAAAAUUGAUAGUAUAAGGCAUUGACCGAUAGAUAUAAAUUAAAUGUGCCGAACUGAAUCCAUCAUAAUUUGAAAAAGAAUCAAAUAAAACUGACAAACUUAUUUUGAAUCAAAUAAAUUAAUAUCCACAGAAAUAUCACUUUAGUAACACAUGAAUUCAAUCAACCCAUGACAAAAUAUGAACAAAAAUUAUGUCCAAAUUAAAACAUAAAAUCAAUGCAUGAAAAUGAAAAUCAGUAUCACUAGGUGGUUCACAUAAAUUCUAUAGAACUUAAUUCGUGUAAGCAUAAAAGCCCCAAGGUAGGUAAAAUUGCAAAUAAGUAAACCUUAAAAUUUUUAUGACACGUGCAUAAGCCUAUUUACUAGAUACAAAAUCGAGUGAUUCAUCAAGUUCAUACUUGAAUUUUCACGCGUCAAUCAAGUUAGUCUUUCUGUUCAAUCGGGGCGUUAACGGUGCUGACGUGGUCGUUAACCACAUGUUAGACGCCACAUAGGCAGAGACUAAUUUGGCCGAUAAUAACAAACAUUUCAAAUAACCAAAUUGAUUGAUUUGUAGAAAAUGUUUUGACUUUCUUCUGCAACGGCUCUUUCUUCCCCAAAUAUAUAAAAUUGAAACCCUGAUUAUACUAUCUGUAAUCUACACUCCAAAAUAACCAAAAUUUCUUCGAAUAAUAAGUGGUAACAUUCUUCCUCUAAUUCAAAAAACUUCAAACCCUAUUUUUUUUUAUUGAAUCUGAAAUCCAAAAUCCAAAAAAUUUCUUUCAGCAAAACUAUUGAAAUUGAAUCCGAAAUCAUGAG